UGCCUAAACUCUAUUUAAUAGGGCAUGGCACAAAAACCCAGUAAGAGAUAUUAACGCUCGUCGUCAGAGCACUCUUACUGGGUCAUAACUCGAAAGAGUUAUGGGUAGCCGAAAGGCUAUC
rnacentral:sRNA from 12 species